rnacentral:rRNA from 1 species
CCUACGGGAGGCAGCAGUGGGGAAUAUUGCGCAAUGGCCGAAAGCCUGACGCAGCGACGCCGCGUGAGGGAUGAAGGUCUUUGGAUCGUAAACCUCUGUCAGCAGGGAAGAAAGGUCACUGUGCUAAUCAUCAGUGAAUUGACGGUACCUGCAAAGGAAGCACCGGCUAACUCCGUGCCAGCAGCCGCGGUAAUACGGAGGGUGCGAGCGUUAAUCGGAAUUACUGGGCGUAAAGGGCUCGUAGGCGGUAUGUCAAGUCAAUGGUGAAAGCCCCGAGCUCAACGGGGGAAUUGCCGUUGAAACUGGCAGACUUGAGUGCAGUAGAGGAGAGGGGAAUUCCAGGUGUAGGGGUGACAUGCGUAGAUAUCUGGAAGAACAGCAGUGGCGAAGGCGACUCACUGG